rnacentral:rRNA from 1 species
GUAGGUGGCAAGCGUUGUCCGGAAUUAUUGGGCGUAAAGCGCGCGCAGGGCGGUCCUUUAAGUCUGAUGUGAAAGCCCACGGCUCAACCGUGGAGGGUCAUUGGAAACUGGGGGACUUGAGUACAGAAGAGGAAAGCGGAAUUCCAAGUGUAGCGGUGAAAUGCGUAGAGGUUUGGAGGAACACCAGUGGCGAAGGCGGCUUUCUGGUCUGUAACUGACGCUGAGGCGCGAAAGCGUGGGGAGCAAACAGGAUUAGAUACCCUGGUAGUCCACGCCGUAAACGAUGAGUGCUAAGUGUUAGGGGGUUUCCGCCCCUUAGUGCUGCAGCUAACGCAUUAAGCACUCCGCCUGGGGAGUACGGCCGCAAAGGCUG